rnacentral:lncRNA from 1 species
CAGCCCCGGCCGCUGGGCGCACCCGUCCCGUUCGUCCCCGGACGUUGCUCUCUACCCCGGGAACGUCGAGACUGGAGCGCCCGAACUGAGCCACCUUCGCGGACCCCGAGAGCGGCGGCGCGACUCACCGCGGAGGCGCCCGGACGCGUCAAGCCCAGCCCAAUAGGAAGCACCUGAUCCACACUCUUUCUAGCCCCAGGGAUGCUCAGGAAAGCAGCCUUUCUUUAGGGCUGUCAUCUGUUCUGGGGAUCUGUUGCUGUUUCUUGGGCCCACAGAAUACACUCCACACCUCGGGACUCUAUAAUAUUGGACAAGGCUGGAAGGCCCAUUUGGCUCCUGCAGCCUCUUAUGCAGGAGGACCUCCUGAGGCUUCGAGCAGGAGCUGGUGCACACCUGGAGGAGAGUGCUGGUGAAUGGCAGGUGUGUGCCUCAGUGUCCUUGCUGCCUGGGUGUCAGCCCUGCUUCACCACUGGCCCUUUGUCUCUGUCCCCUCCACUGGCCUGUUGAAGCACAGAGACCCUCCGGGUACUUUCCUUCCUCUGGGCUUCCACUCAUGCUAUUCCCUGCUCCCUUCUUCUACCUGGAGACCCCCAUUCCUCCUCCUCCUCUGCUGCCCUCACCUCCACCUGGGCCCUCCCAGCUCCUGGGAGAUGGCUAAACCCCACUCCCCACCCGCUAGUCAUCCUCUUCAGCGGUCCUCCCAGAGCUGUCCUCGGCAUGGCAGCCUCCACAGCCCCUGGGUGUCACCCCCGGUUUCGUGUCUGCCUUGGACUCCAGACCUGCCCCUCCCAGGCUGGCCCAGAUGGAUCCUCUGCAGUGACUAACCCAAACCAGCACCAGGCAGGGACCCAAUAAACCUUCGUGAA